GACAGAGGGUGCAAACGUUGUUCGGAAUUACUGGGCGUAAAGCGUGUGUAGGCGGCUGCGCAAGUCGGAUGUGAAAGCCCCGGGCUCAACCCGGGAAGUGCACCCGAAACUGCGUAGCUUGAGUACCGGAGAGGUUGGUGGAAUUCUCGGUGUAGCGGUGAAAUGCGUAGAUAUCGAGAGGAACACCUGCGGCGAAGGCGGGUUGCUGGGCCGACACUGACGCUGAGGCGCGAAAGCCAGGGGAGCGAACGGG
rnacentral:rRNA from 1 species